rnacentral:rRNA from 1 species
GUGCCAGCAGCCGCGGUAAUACAGAGGGUGCAAGCGUUAAUCGGAAUUACUGGGCGUAAAGCGCACGUAGGCGGUUUUUUAAGUCAGAUGUGAAAGCCCCGGGCUCAACCUGGGAAUUGCAUUUGAAACUGGAAAACUAGAGUGUGUGAGAGGGGGGGUAGAAUUCCAAGUGUAGCGGUGAAAUGCGUAGAGAUUUGGAGGAAUACCAGUGGCGAAAGGCGGCCCCCUGGCACAACACUGACGCUCAGGUGCGAAAGCGUGGGGAGCAAACAGGAUUAGAUACCCUGGUAGUCC